UACAGAGGUCUCAAGCGUUGUUCGGAUUCAUUGGGCGUAAAGGGUGCGUAGGCGGCGCGGUAAGUCGGGUGUGAAAUCUCGGAGCUUAACUCCGAAACUGCAUUCGAUACUGCCGUGCUUGAGGACUGGAGAGGAGACUGGAAAUUUACGGUGUAGCGGUGAAAUGCGUAGAUAUCGUAAGGAAGACCAGUGGCGAAAGGCGGG
rnacentral:rRNA from 1 species